rnacentral:misc_RNA from 1 species
GAUGAAGAACGUAGCGAAAUGCGAUAAGUAAUGCGAAUUGCAGAAUUCAGUGAGUCAUCGAAUCUUUGAACGCACAUUGCGCCCUGUGGUAUUCCGCAGGGCAUGCCUGUUCGAGCGUCAUUUCAACCCUCAAGCCUCGCUUGGUGUUGGGCCCUGCCCGCCGCGGCCGGCCCUAAAGAUAGUGGCGGCGCCGCCUGGCCCUCAGCGUAGUACAGCUCUCGCUCCAGGGUCCGGCGGCAGCCUGCCAGAACCCCCCAACUCUGUGGUUGACCUCGGAUCAGGAAGGGAUACCCGCUGAACUUAAGCAUAUCAAUAAGCGGAGGA